UUUGAUAUCGGUGUGCAAGAAAUU
rnacentral:piRNA from 1 species